GUGAACGCUGGCGGUAGGCCUAACACAUGCAAGUCGAACGGCAGCACAGUAAGAGCUUGCUCUUACGGGUGGCGAGUGGCGGACGGGUGAGGAAUACAUCGGAAUCUACUUUUUCGUGGGGGAUAACGUAGGGAAACUUACGCUAAUACCGCAUACGACCUACGGGUGAAAGCAGGGGAUCUUCGGACCUUGCGCGAUUGAAUGAGCCGAUGUCGGAUUAGCUAGUUGGCGGGGUAAAGGCCCACCAAGGCGACGAUCCGUAGCUGGUCUGAGAGGAUGAUCAGCCACACUGGAACUGAGACACGGUCCAGACUCCUACGGGAGGCAGCAGUGGGGAAUAUUGGACAAUGGGCGCAAGCCUGAGCCAGCCAUACCGCGUGGGUGAAGAAGGCCUUCGGGUUGUAAAGCCCUUUUGUUGGGAAAGAAAAGCAGCAGGUUAAUACCCCGCUGUUCUGACGGUACCCAAAGAAUAAGCACCGGCUAACUUCGUG
rnacentral:rRNA from 1 species